rnacentral:rRNA from 1 species
GGACUACUGGGGUAUCUAAUCCGGAUCGCUCCCCACGCUUUCGCGCCUCAGCGUCAGCAAAGCUCCAGGCAACCGCCUUCGCCACUGGUGUUCCUCCCGAUAUCUACGCAUUCCACCACUACACCGGGAAUUCCAUUGCCCCCUAGCUUGCUCAAGCUCGGCCGUAUCCGCUGACCCCGCCCAGUUGAGCCGGGCGAUUUCACAACGGACGUGCCGAGCCGCCUACGCGCCCUUUACGCCCAAUAAAUCCGGGCAACGCUUGCACCCUACGUAUUACCGCGGCUGCUGGCAC